rnacentral:lncRNA from 1 species
GAAAAAAGCAGGUUCGUGCACUAACAUUGACGAUGAUUUACGCAAGUUUUCACCAACUUUUUGAUUCAGCCCACACGAAGUAAAAUCCAAAUCGCAAUCUAAAAACUAGUUGUAAUAACAGAGAUUGUUCAAUGAUAAUAUAAGUACCUGGAAGUAUUAUAUCAACUCAAGCCCGCCACAAUCAAUUGGAAAAUUGAAAUAAAUCAAAGCAAACCAUUUCUGCUCUUUCCCAGUUCAUCAACCCAGAAAUAAUGCACACAAAGCCUGCUAAUGCACCUUCGUGAAGAGAGACACAAAACCAUUAUUGCUCAACGAUUUUGUCCUUCAAAUAUUUCAGGAUAGCUUUUGUUCCUCCUUCCAAUAUAGCCCUUCCGAUACUGAAAAAACCAGAGACGUUAAUUUUUAUAAGUGCAUUUUAAUUGUUCCGCAUCCUCCUAUUAUCAACUCGCAUAAACAAUGGUGUUUCAACAAAAAUUAACAGCAUAGCAUUUCAUCUUUUGUAGCUUGCCAGGCAAGAAUUUUCAAUUAGAUUCAUCAAAUUAUUCUAAAACAUUUUUUUUAACUAAAGUAGUCUCUUAAGAUAAUUUAGAUUUUCAUGUCGUCUCCUGUUCAUAUCUGAUUUAGAUUUUCAUGUCGUCUCCUGUUCAUAUCUGAGUUAUUACUUAGUUGAAAGUAAUGUAGGCAACUAAGAUCGGGAAUUUGAUUGAGCGAGUGUAAAAUUAGAAGGCAGGCACUUCUCACUAUGGUUUGGUAGAAUAAAACCUUGAUCGUUCUAAGCAUUUAGCAUUACCACAAAAUGACUAGAAGGAUUUUUUAAGUGUGAAACACGGGAGAUUUCCAGCACACAUGGAGGAUAAUCAUAUACUUGUAUCCCACCUUGCUGUACCUUGUUUACACAUUAAAAUUGGAAAUUGUUAAUUCGCCAAAGAUUUUGAUGCCUCUACUAGAUAUGGUUAAUUCGAAUGGGGGUGUGUAGGGUAUAGACACGACACAACUAGGUUUUGUUGACUUACUAGACCUAUUCUUAAUAUUUGAGCUAAAAAUCAUUUAUCUAAUCACAAACUUCAAACAAGAGUAAAUCUAAAAGAUGAACUGUACCUUCUCAAUGGGUUCCCAUCAAGUUUUAGUACUUGCACGUUGGCUUCAAGCAAACCCUGUAGAACCAGAUAUUCAA